rnacentral:rRNA from 1 species
GGGAUACCCGCUGAACUUAAGCAUAUCAAUAAGCGGAGGAAAAGAAACCAACAGGGAUUGCCCUAGUAACGGCGAGUGAAGCGGCAACAGCUCAAAUUUGAAAGCUGGCCUUCGGGUCCGCAUUGUAAUUUGUAGAGGAUGCUUUGGGGCAGCCGCCUGUCUAAGUUCCUUGGAACAGGACGUCAUAGAGGGUGAGAAUCCCGUAUGUGACAGGACAUGGCACCCUAUGUAAAGCUCCUUCGACGAGUCGAGUUGUUUGGGAAUGCAGCUCUAAAUGGGAGGUAAAUUUCUUCUAAAGCUAAAUACCGGCGAGAGACCGAUAGCGCACAAGUAGAGUGAUCGAAAGAUGAAAAGCACUUUGGAAAGAGAGUUAAAAAGCACGUGAAAUUGUUGAAAGGGAAGCGCUUGCAAUCAGACUUGUUCAAACUGCUCGGCCGGUCUUCUGACCGGUUUAUUCAGUUUGGACAGGCCAGCAUCAGUUUUGGCGGCCGGAUAAAGGCCCCGGGAAUGUGGCUCCCACUUCGGUGGGAGUGUUAUAGCCCGGGGUGUAAUACGGCCAGCCGGGACUGAGGUCCGCGCUUCGGCUAGGAUGCUGGCGUAAUGGUUGUAAGCGACCCGUCU